GCCGAAGUGGCGGAAUUGGUAGACGCGCUAGGUUCAGGGUCUAGUGGGGGCAACUCCGUCCCGGUUCAAGUCCGGGCUUCGGCACCA
rnacentral:tRNA from 1 species